rnacentral:tRNA from 1 species
UGGGCGGUUAGCUCAGUUGGUAGAGCAACGGACUCUUAAUCCGUGGGUCCAGGGUUCGAGCCCCUGACCACCCAUC